rfam:Rosellinia necatrix DNA, scaffold: Contig193, strain: W97.
AAACAGGUUUUUUUAAAAACUAUAAAAUCUGUUUUAAACUAUAUA